rnacentral:rRNA from 1 species
UACGUAGGUGGCAAGCGUUGUCCGAAAUUAUUGGGCGUAAAGCGCGCGCAGGCGGUUCUUUAAGUCUGAUGUGAAAGCCCACGGCUCAACCGUGGAGGGUCAUUGGAAACUGGGGGACUUGAGUGCAGGAGAGAAGAGUGGAAUUCCACGUGUAGCGGUGAAAUGCGUAGAGAUGUGGAGGAACACCAGUGGCGAAGGCGACUCUUUGGUCUGUAACUGACGCUGAGGCGCGAAAGCGUGGGGAGCAAACAGG